GCGGUCUGUGUCCAAGGCUCGGGUGUUCUCUGCGGCCAUGAGCUACACAGGCUUUGUCCAAGGAUCCGAAACCACUUUGCAGUCUACCUACUGUGACACCAGUGCCCAGCCCACCUGUGAUUAUGGAUAUGGAACUUGGAACUCUGGGACAAAUAGAGGCUACGAGAACUAUGGUUAUGGCUAUGGCUAUGGCCAGGAUAACACCACCAACUAUGGGUAUGGUAUGGCCACUUCACACUCUUGGGAAAUGGCUAACUCUGACACAAAUGCAAACCCUAGUGCCUCGGGUAGCGCCAGUGCCGAUUCCGUUUUAUCCAGAAUUAACCAGCGCUUAGAUAUGAUGCCACACUUGGAGACAGACAUGAUACAAGGAGGUGUGUACGGCUCAGGUGGUGGAGAAAGGUAAGUUGGGGUGCCACUUAGGGCCUUAGGCUCCUGUCUGCUAGAACCUUUCCUGAAUGCUUCUUGGAAUCUACCCCUCUCUCCUUGCUCUGUGCUUCCCAAUGCUGUGCUCCUAAUGAGAUUGUUGUGCUUCCCUUUUUUUGAUGUGUUUUCCUCCUCGCUAACCCCCGAUGGCCAACUCCCCCUGGGAGCAAGGGACGAGCAGGCCCUGCUGUGCUGUCUUGCCUGUAUCCACAGAACGGCUUCUCAGGAGUAGUUCCAACGCCUCCUCCCUAAUGGCAAGGGAGGAGCCUGCACAGUGCAAAGCAGGGCAGAUUAGGUUUGGUCAGAGGCAUGGGCUAAUCCUUUGGGACUAACCACUGGGAGUCGUUAGGCAGAUAAGAGGACUUAGGGCUGGAGAGAUGGCUCAGCAAUUAAAAGCACUGACAACUCUUCCAGAGGACCUGGGUUCGAAUUUCAGCACCCACAUGGUGGCUCACAACUGCCUGUAACUCAAGACCUGACAACUUCACAUAGACAUACAUGCAGGCAAAACACCGAUGCAUCUUUAAAAAAAAAAAAAAAAAAGCACAAGA
rnacentral:lncRNA from 1 species